AUUGAACGCUGGCGGCAGGCCUAACACAUGCAAGUCGAGCGGAUGAAGGGAGCUUGCUCCUGGAUUCAGCGGCGGACGGGUGAGUAAUGCCUAGGAAUCUGCCUGGUAGUGGGGGAUAACGUCCGGAAACGGGCGCUAAUACCGCAUACGUCCUGAGGGAGAAAGUGGGGGAUCUUCGGACCUCACGCUAUCAGAUGAGCCUAGGUCGGAUUAGCUAGUUGGUGGGGUAAAGGCCUACCAAGGCGACGAUCCGUAACUGGUCUGAGAGGAUGAUCAGUCACACUUGGACAGGGACACCGGCCCAACCCCUUCGGGGGGGAGCGGGUGGGGAAUUUUGGCAAUGGGGGGAAACCCUGUCCCACCCAGGCCGGGGGGGGGAAGAAGUGUUUCGGUUUUUAAAGCCUUUUAAGUUGGGGGGAGGGGCAGUAAGUUAAUCCCUUGCUUUUUUGGCGUUCCCAAAAGAAUAAGCCCCGGCUAACUGCUU
rnacentral:rRNA from 1 species